rnacentral:rRNA from 1 species
AAAGCCUCUAAGCAUCAGGUAACAUCAAAUCGUACCCCAAACCGACACAGGUGGUCAGGUAGAGAAUACCAAGGCGCUUGAGAGAACUCGGGUGAAGGAACUAGGCAAAAUGGUGCCGUAACUUCGGGAGAAGGCACGCUGAUAUGUAGGUGAAGCGACUUGCUCGUGGAGCUGAAAUCAGUCGAAGAUACCAGCUGGCUGCAACUGUUUAUUAAAAACACAGCACUGUGCAAACACGAAAGUGGACGUAUACGGUGUGACGCCUGCCCGGUGCCGGAAGGUUAAUUGAUGGGGUUAGCGGCAACGCGAAGCUCUUGAUCGAAGCCCCGGUAAACGGCGGCCGUAACUAUAACGGUCCUAAGGUAGCGAAAUUCCUUGUCGGGUAAGUUCCGACCUGCACGAAUGGCGUAAUGAUGGCCAGGCUGUCUCCACCCGAGACUCAGUGAAAUUGAACUCGCUGUGAAGAUGCAGUGUACCCGCGGCAAGACGGAAAGACCCCGUGAACCUUUACUAUAGCUUGACACUGAACAUUGAGCCUUGAUGUGUAGGAUAGGUGGGAGGCUUUGAAGUGUGGACGCCAGUCUGCAUGGAGCCGACCUUGAAAUACCACCCUUUAAUGUUUGAUGUUCUAACGUUGGCCCGUAAUCCGGGUUGCGGACAGUGUCUGGUGGGUAGUUUGACUGGGGCGGUCUCCUCCUAAAGAGUAACGGAGGAGCACGAAGGUUGGCUAAUCCUGGUCGGACAUCAGGAGGUUAGUGCAAUGGCAUAAGCCAGCUUGACUGCGAGCGUGACGGCGCGAGCAGGUGCGAAAGCAGGUCAUAGUGAUCCGGUGGUUCUGAAUGGAAGGGCCAUCGCUCAACGGAUAAAAGGUACUCCGGGGAUAACAGGCUGAUACCGCCCAAGAGUUCAUAUCGACGGCGGUGUUUGGCACCUCGAUGUCGGCUCAUCACAUCCUGGGGCUGAAGUAGGUCCCAAGGGUAUGGCUGUUCGCCAUUUAAAGUGGUACGCGAGCUGGGUUUAGAACGUCGUGAGACAGUUCGGUCCCUAUCUGCCGUGGGCGCUGGAGAACUGAGGGGGGCUGCUCCUAGUACGAGAGGACCGGAGUGGACGCAUCACUGGUGUUCGGGUUGUCAUGCCAAUGGCACUGCCCGGUAGCUAAAUGCGGAAGAGAUAAGUGCUGAAAGCAUCUAAGCACGAAACUUGCCCCGAGAUGAGUUCUCCCUGACUCCUUGAGAGUCCUGAAGGAACGUUGAAGACGACGACGUUGAUAGGCCGGGUGUGUAAGCGCAGCGAUGCGUUGAGCUAACCGGUACUAAUGAACCGUGAGGCUUAACCUU